rnacentral:tRNA from 1 species
GCCGUGGUGGCGGAAUUGGUAGACGCGUCGGUCUCAAAAACCGAUGAUGACAACAUCAUGAGAGUUCGAUUCUCUCCCGCGGCA